rnacentral:rRNA from 1 species
GGGUUGUGAGGUUAAGUGACUAAGCGUACACGGUGGAUGCCUAGGCAGUCAGAGGCGAUGAAGGGCGUGCUAAUCUGCGAAAAGCGUCGGUAAGGUGAUAUGAACCGUUAUAACCGGCGAUACCCGAAUGGGGAAACCCAGUGUGUUUCGACACACUAUCAUGUCAUGAAUACAUAGUGGCAUGAGGCGAACCGGGGGAACUGAAACAUCUAAGUACCCCGAGGAAAAGAAAUCAACCGAGAUUCCCCCAGUAGCGGCGAGCGAACGGGGAGAAGCCCAGAACCUGAAUCGGCUUGUGUGUUAGUGGAAGCGUCUGGAAAGUCGCGCAGCAAAGGGUGAUAGCCCCGUACACUAAAAUGCACAGGUCGUGAGUUCGAUGAGUAGGGCGGGACACGUGACAUCCUGUCUGAAUAUGGGGGGACCAUCCUCCAAGGCUAAAUACUCCUGACUGACCGAUAGUGAACCAGUACCGUGAGGGAAAGGCGAAAAGAACCCCGGCGAGGGGAGUGAAAUAGAACCUGAAACCGUGUACGUACAAGCAGUGGGAGCACCUUCGUGGUGUGACUGCGUACCUUUUGUAUAAUGGGUCAGCGACUUAUAUUUUGUAGCAAGGUUAACCGUAUAGGGGAGCCGUAGGGAAACCGAGUCUUAACUGGGCGAAUAGUUGCAAGGUAUAGACCCGAAACCCGGUGAUCUAGCCAUGGGCAGGUUGAAGGUUGGGUAACACUAACUGGAGGACCGAACCGACUAAUGUUGAAAAAUUAGCGGAUGACUUGUGGCUGGGGGUGAAAGGCCAAUCAAACCGGGAGAUAGCUGGUUCUCCCCGAAAGCUAUUUAGGUAGCGCCUCGUGAACUCAUCUUCGGGGGUAGAGCACUGUUUCGGCUAGGGGGCCAUCCCGGCUUACCAAACCGAUGCAAACUCCGAAUACCGAAGAAUGUUAUCACGGGAGACACACGGCGGGUGCUAACGUCCGUCGUGAAGAGGGAAACAACCCAGACCGCCAGCUAAGGUCCCAAAGUCAUGGUUAAGUGGGAAACGAUGUGGGAAGGCAUAGACAGCCAGGAUGUUGGCUUAGAAGCAGCCAUCAUUUAAAGAAAGCGUAAUAGCUCACUGGUCGAGUCGGCCUGCGCGGAAGAUGUAACGGGGCUAAACCAUGCACCGAAGCUGCGGCAGCGACGCUUAGGCGUUGUUGGGUAGGGGAGCGUUCUGUAAGCCGUUGAAGGUGGCCUGUGAGGGUUGCUGGAGGUAUCAGAAGUGCGAAUGCUGACAUAAGUAACGAUAAAGCGGGUGAAAAGCCCGCUCGCCGGAAGACCAAGGGUUCCUGUCCAACGUUAAUCGGGGCAGGGUGAGUCGACCCCUAAGGCGAGGCUGAAAAGCGUAGUCGAUGGGAAACAGGUUAAUAUUCCUGUACUUGGUGUUAUUGCGAAGGGGGGACGGAGAAGGCUAGGCUAGCCGGGCGACGGUUGUCCCGGUUUAAGCGUGUAGGGGGUGUGACCUGGUAAAUCCGGUUACAUACUAACCCUGAGGCGUGAUGACGAUGCACUACGGUGCAGAAGUAGUUGAUGCCCUGCUUCCAGGAAAAGCCUCUAAGCUCUAGGUAACAUUAAAUCGUACCCCAAACCGACACAGGUGGUCAGGUAGAGAAUACCAAGGCGCUUGAGAGAACUCGGGUGAAGGAACUAGGCAAAAUGGUGCCGUAACUUCGGGAGAAGGCACGCUGGCAUGUAGGUGAAGUCCCUUGCGGAUGGAGCUGAAGCCAGUCGAAGAUACCAGCUGGCUGCAACUGUUUAAUAAAAACACAGCACUGUGCAAACACGAAAGUGGACGUAUACGGUGUGACGCCUGCCCGGUGCUGGAAGGUUAAUUGAUGGGGUCAGCCGCAAGGCGAAGCUCUUGAUCGAAGCCCCAGUAAACGGCGGCCGUAACUAUAACGGUCCUAAGGUAGCGAAAUUCCUUGUCGGGUAAGUUCCGACCUGCACGAAUGGCGUAAUGAUGGCCAGGCUGUCUCCACCCGAGACUCAGUGAAAUUGAACUCGCUGUGAAGAUGCAGUGUACCCGCGGCAAGACGGAAAGACCCCGUGAACCUUUACUAUAGCUUGACACUGAACAUUGAGCCUUGAUGUGUAGGAUAGGUGGGAGGCUUUGAAGCGUGGACGCCAGUCUGCGUGGAGCCAUCCUUGAAAUACCACCCUUUAAUGUUUGAUGUUCUAACUCGGCCCCAUAAUCUGGGGUGAGGACAGUGUCUGGUGGGUAGUUUGACUGGGGCGGUCUCCUCCCAAAGAGUAACGGAGGAGCACGAAGGUUAGCUAAUCACGGUCGGACAUCGUGAGGUUAGUGCAAAGGCAUAAGCUAGCUUGACUGCGAGAGUGACGGCUCGAGCAGGUACGAAAGUAGGUCUUAGUGAUCCGGUGGUUCUGAAUGGAAGGGCCAUCGCUCAACGGAUAAAAGGUACUCCGGGGAUAACAGGCUGAUACCGCCCAAGAGUUCAUAUCGACGGCGGUGUUUGGCACCUCGAUGUCGGCUCAUCACAUCCUGGGGCUGAAGUAGGUCCCAAGGGUAUGGCUGUUCGCCAUUUAAAGUGGUACGCGAGCUGGGUUUAGAACGUCGUGAGACAGUUCGGUCCCUAUCUGCCGUGGGCGUUGGAAGAUUGAGAGGGGUUGCUCCUAGUACGAGAGGACCGGAGUGAACGCACCACUGGUGUUCGGGUUGUCAUGCCAAUGGCAUUGCCCGGUAGCUAAGUGCGGAAAAGAUAAGCGCUGAAAGCAUCUAAGCGCGAAACUUGCCUCAAGAUGAGUCUUCCCUGGGCCUUUAAGGCCCCUGAAGGAACGUUUAAGACUAAGACGUUGAUAGGCUGGGUGUGUAAGUGCAGCGAUGCAUUGAGCUAACCAGUACUAAUGAUCCGUGAGGCUUAACCUUACAACACCGAAGGUGUUU